AAUUUUAUGAACAAUAAAGUAUCUGUAACUGGUAUGAAAAAAUUGAUUUGGACUCAAGUAAAAGGAAACACAUAAUAUCUUUAAGUAAUAUAACCCAGUUUGAAACUGAAAAUCCUGCAUCUAAAAAAAAGAUCAAUGUCGAUUAAGGCUGAUUUCACUUUAUAUUUCAUAUUGAUUAAAGUAUUUUUUUCAUUAUAUAUUUUUGUUUUUGUUUUGUUAAAGUACUAAAUUGGAGUUUGAAGUAUUGAAAAAUGCACUAAAAAGCAGUAAUAAUGCAUUUUUCUAAAUACAUGAAUGAUUUUAAUGCAAAAAAAAAAAAAAUCAAAAAAAAAAUCAGUGUUCUUACUAAAUAAUGAUGAUCUGAUCUUGUCAAUCAAUUUUGAAAUAAAAUUGAGGAUGACAAUUGGGAAUAUGUCAAAGAUAUAAAUGUAUCAAUUGCCUUUUCUGAUGGUUUUAUUUUAUUUAUAAGUAUUUAUACUCAUGAUUAUAGAAGCAUCUGGUGUUUAGCAUGUGUCUAAAUGUUUUCAUUGAAAAUAUACAUUAUAUGAUUUAAAAUCAUCUAAUGCAUUUACUGCUAUAAUGAAUUUGUAACAUAUGGUUGAUAUUCACAGAACAAGUAUUUAUUUUAUCCCAUAAAUACUUUAUAAAUAAACCUACUUAUACAAAAUUAUUUGUUAGAACCCAUUUAUUUCAGAAUAUAUAUUUCACAUUAAAUGACCAAAUGCAGUUUAUUUCUUUGCUUGUAUGUCGUUUUUGUUCUUCUGAAGAGUAAUGUGUUUUAGAUUGAUGUGGCUGUUUUACUGACUAGUAUUUUUGGUAUUUAUUGUUUUUAUACGACCGCAAAAUUUGAAAAAUUUUUCGUCGUAUAUUGCUAUCACGUUGGCGUCGUCGUCUGCGUCGUCGUCGUCGUCGUCGUCCGAAUACUUUUAGUUUUCGCACUCUAACUUUAGUAAAAGUGAAUGGAAAUCUAUGAAAUUUUAACACA
rnacentral:lncRNA from 1 species